rnacentral:piRNA from 1 species
UCACAAGAAAUCAGGCUCUGACGAGAC